GGGAGAGAAAACAAAUGAUGAAGAAAAUGACGUGUUUAAAAACUGAAAAACCUGACAUUGAAACACAGAAUAAUCCAUGUGUGUCUUCCCCACUGUAUCCAUCCCUGACAGGGGCAGGCGGUCCUCUCCUGAACACGUGUUAUCAAAUUCCUGCACCACCUCCAGUCCAACAAUCACCACCACCGUACAACCCCGAUCCUACGGUUGGCAGACCUGUAACACGCAGUCAAACCCGGCUGGGAGACCAGGGAGGUGCCGACGUCAAAUCGCGCUCACCCCUCAACCCAUUCGGACCUGACCCCACAGCUCAGUCCACCCCGGACUCUGCGUGGUCAAUCCACGACCCAUCCUCCUGGAGGGGCACAGCCGGCAGAAUUGUGGAUUUUCUUAGUCCCGACACCACCAUGGACAGUAAACCGGGUGGGCAUCGUGGUGUCGUGUUCCGACCCUGGACAGCGACUGAUAUUCAACAGGCAGCCUCUCACCUGCCCGACAUCAAAAACGGUGCAGCCUUUGGAAAAGAGUUCCUGGCCUUCUGUAAAGAAUUCAUGCCCACCGGACCCGAGAUCCAUCGUCUUCUGGUCAAACAUGUGGGCCUGAGUGAUUUCAGUAAAAUCAGAGCGGUGGUCACUGGUCAGGGCUGUGACUCCCGCCACGAGGCACCCGACUGGGAUCAUGCAGAUAACGUCGCCUACAGAGCAUUUGUCACCGCAGUGUGUGCAGCUGUUGUUACAGCUUUUCCGGCAACAGUAAACAUGGCCCCCAUCAACAGCACAAAACAAGGUAGGACCGAAGAUGUAACAUUUUACCAUCAGCGUCUUGUGGCUGCUUUUCAGAUUCACAGCGGCCUCGAGGAGCCCACAGACAUAACCAACAUGACCGUGUGGGAAACUCAUCUCAAGAACGCCUUCAUGAACGGGCUUCUGCCAGACGUCAAAACUGCCACUGAACACUCUGUCGUGGGUCUGGAAGAUGCAAGGCUCACAGAAGUGGACAUUGGUACCAAGACUGCCCCUCCCGUUCAAACCUGGUACGUCAGCCACG
ensembl:lncRNA